GCAACUUCUGUAAGUGGCUGCCUCAGGCUCUUAGUGAGAGAGGAAAGCAGCUGCAGGGCGCUGCGCGGAGCAGCUCAUCAUGGAGGCAGAGGAAGCGACCACAGUCCUGCCACGGCAGAUGGCCGCCCUUGCACCCUGUGCGCCGGCGAUGCAGGGUGCUUGGUAUUGCAACAGACAGCAUGGGAUCCUUUCACGAGCGCUGCAGAGGCGUGAGGAGAAUGAGCCACAGAAUCAGAACUGUAUUUCCAGCGAGAAGAACAGAGGCAUAAAAAACAAUAAGGAUUGUUCAGCACAAGAUGUUGCUUAAGCAACAAAGUGAAGAGCGCAGAAUAUAAGAACUAACAGCAUGUUGGCUGGCAGUCCCAAGGACAACUCACCUCAGCGCACUCUGUAUGUUGAAGAUGCCACUUGGCUGGCAAAGGAAGAAGUGCCCAAUGUGCCUGAAAGCAACCAGUUGCUCACUCC
rnacentral:lncRNA from 1 species